AAUCUGUGCAUUGGACAUUUCCGCAACAAGUCCUUGAAUCUUUCCCAUGCCUCAUACAAACUUUCAUCUUUUAGUUGCUUGAAAGAUGUCAAGACAUUUCGCAGCUU